GUGGCGGGCGGGGCUGGGGGUAUAAAGUGGGCGGCCCCUGUCGCGGUCCCCUCCCUCCGGCCCACUAGGCGCCCGUGUCUCGGGCCGUCAGGACUCCGAGCUCCUGCGACGUGUCCAGCGGGGACGCCCGACGCGCGCUCUCCGCGAUCGGGUCUCAGGGCACACGGUGCUGCCAAGAUGCUUGGGGGCCCCUGCUCCGUGCUUCUGCUCUGCGGGCUCCUGAGGGCCAUCCACGCCCAGCAGCAAGAAGUCGUCUCACCUGGUACCUCCGAGAGAAAUAACAACUGCCCAGAGAAGGCCGACUGCCCCGUCAACGUGUACUUCGUGCUGGACACCUCGGAGAGCGUCGCCAUGCAGCCCCCCACAGACAUCCUGCUGUCUCACAUGCAGCAGUUCGUGCCGCAGCUCAUCAGCCAGCUGCAGAACGAGCUGUACCUGGGCCAGGUGGCGCUGAGCUGGCGCUACGGUGGCCUGCACUUCUCCGACCAGGUGGAGGUGUUCAGCCCGCCGGGCAGCGACCGCGCGUCCUUCACGCGCAGCCUACAGGCCGUGCGUUCGUUCCGCCGCGGCACCUUCACCGACUGCGCUCUGGCUAACAUGACGCAGCAAGUGCGGCAGCUGGGCGGCCGCGGCGUGCACUUCGCCGUGGUCAUCACCGACGGCCACGUCACGGGCAGCCCGUGCGGUGGCAUUAAGCUGCAGGCUGAGCGCGCGCGCGAGGAGGGCGUGCGGCUCUUCGCCGUGGCCCCCAACCGCAACGUGAAGGAGCAGGGCCUGCGCGACAUCGCCAGCGCGCCGCUCGAGCUGUACCGCAACAGCUACGCCACCAUGCGGCCGGACUCGUUAGAGAUCGACGAGGACACGGUCGAGCGCAUCAUCCGGGUCAUGAAACACGAAGCCUAUGGGGAGUGCUACAAGGUGAGCUGCCUGGAGAUCCCCGGGCCCCCCGGCCCCAAGGGCUACCGUGGACAGAAGGGUGCCAAAGGCAACAUGGGUGAGCCAGGAGAGCCUGGUCAGAAGGGGAGACAGGGAGAUCCAGGCAUCGAAGGCCCCAUCGGAUUCCCAGGACCCAAGGGUGUUCCUGGCUUCAAAGGGGAGAAGGGUGAAUUUGGAGCAGAUGGUCGGAAGGGUGCACCCGGCCUGGCUGGCAAGAAUGGGACUGAUGGACAGAAGGGCAAACUGGGACGCAUCGGACCUCCUGGCUGCAAGGGAGACCCUGGAAGCAGGGGUCCCGACGGUUAUCCAGGGGAAGCAGGGAGCCCUGGGGAGCGAGGAGACCAAGGUGCCAAGGGGGACGCUGGCCGCCCAGGACGCAGAGGACCCCCAGGGGACAGUGGGGCCAAAGGCAGUAAGGGCUACCAAGGCAACAACGGAGCCCCCGGAAGCCCCGGCGUGAAAGGAACCAAGGGCGGGCCUGGGCCCCGUGGACCCAAGGGUGAACCUGGGCGCAGGGGAGAUCCCGGAGCCAAGGGCAGCCCUGGCAGUGAUGGAGCCAAGGGGGAGAAGGGGGACCCUGGCCCUGAGGGGCCCCGGGGCCUGGCUGGAGAAGUGGGGAGCAAAGGAGCCAAGGGAGACCGAGGCUUACCUGGACCCAGAGGCCCCCAGGGAGCUUUUGGGGAGCCCGGGAAGCAGGGAUCUCGGGGAGACCCUGGUGAUGCUGGGCCCCGUGGAGACUCGGGACAGCCUGGCCCCAAGGGAGACCCCGGUAGACCUGGAUUCAGCUACCCAGGACCCCGAGGAACACCUGGAGAAAAAGGCGAACCUGGCCCUCCUGGCCCCGAGGGAGGCCGAGGCGACUUUGGUAUGAAAGGAAGACCUGGGAAGAAAGGAGAGAAGGGAGAACCUGCUGAUCCUGGUCCACCUGGUGAGCCAGGCCUUCGGGGUCCAAGAGGAGUCCCAGGACCCGAGGGUGAGCCCGGCCCCCCUGGAGACCCUGGCCUCACGGAAUGUGACGUCAUGACCUAUGUGAGAGAGACCUGCGGGUGCUGUGACUGUGAGAAGCGUUGUGGUGCCCUGGACGUGGUCUUCGUCAUCGACAGCUCCGAGAGCAUUGGCUAUACCAAUUUUACCCUGGAGAAGAACUUCGUCAUCAAUGUGGUCAACAGGCUAGGGGCUAUUGCCAAGGACCCCAAAUCAGAAACAGGGACACGGGUAGGCGUGGUACAGUACAGCCAUGAGGGCACUUUCGAGGCCAUCCAGCUGGAUGAUGAGCGCAUCGACUCCUUGUCCAGCUUCAAGGAGGCUGUCAAGAACCUCGAGUGGAUUGCGGGCGGCACCUGGACACCCUCUGCCCUCAAGUUUGCCUACGACCGACUCAUCAAGGAAAGCCGGCGCCAGAAGACACGCGUGUUCGCAGUGGUCAUCACAGAUGGGCGCCAUGACCCACGUGACGAUGACCUCAACCUGCGGGCGCUGUGCGACCGUGAUGUCACAGUUACAGCCAUCGGCAUUGGUGACAUGUUCCACGAGAAGCAUGAGAGUGAGAACCUCUACUCCAUUGCCUGCGACAAGCCACAGCAGGUGCGCAACAUGACACUCUUUUCCGAUCUGGUGGCUGAGAAGUUCAUUGAUGACAUGGAAGAUGUCCUCUGCCCAGACCCUCAGAUCGUGUGUCCAGAUCUUCCCUGCCAAACAGAUGGACAGUGGCCUGGUGGCGAGCCCCCGGUCACCUUCCUUCGCACAGAAGAGGUACCGGACAACGCCUUCCCCAGGACCAUCCCCCUGAUCCAACAGUUGCUAAACGCCACGGAGUUCACACAGGACCCAGCUGCCUACUCGCAGCUGGUGGCCGUACUGGUCUACACUGCUGAGCGGGCCAAGUUCGCCACAGGGGUGGAGCGGCAAGACUGGAUGGACCUGUUCAUUGACACCUUCAAGUUGGUGCACAGGGACAUUGUGGGUGACCCCGAGACCGCACUGGCACUCUGCUGAAGCCAUGCGCUGCCCACACAGCCAGAGCUGGGCCCUCUCCCGGCCGUGUAGCUUCCCAGGGCUGCCUACCAGGACCGGAGCUAUAGGACAGUGGGCAUUUUCUCUCUCAGUCUGGAGGCAGAAGUCCAACGCCAUGGAGCCCGCGGGGCCACAGUCCCUUCCAAGGCUCUGGGGUGGGGGGGUCCUCCCUGCCUCUUCCAGCUCCUGGGGGCUGCCAUGAUCCUUGGCUGGUGGCCAUAUCUCCCGUCUGCCUCCGUCUCAACAUGUCCUCCUAUUUCGUUAAGAUUGCUAGUUAUUGAAAAUGAGGCCUGCCCUAAAUCCAGGACAAUCACAUCCCAAGAUCCCUAAUUUUAUCCUGUUUUCAGAGUCCUUCUUCGCCAUGUAAGUUCACAUCACAGGUUUCAGGAAUUAGGAAUUCAGCUGCUCACAACACCACCCAUCCAUCUGAGUUGGGUUGGGGGCUAAGUGGGGAGAAGUGCAGCCCUGGUGCUUGGAGACUUUGCCCCUGCCCACUUCAGCAUGAGCCUGAGAAACAAACCUCAGAGACUGGCCUGGCACAAUGCGAAGGCAGCCAGGUUGGAUGGCAGAUGGUCCUCGUGGGACCUGGUACCAGACACCUUUGAGCUGGCAUCAUACCCGUUAUGCCAAAGUGCUGGCCCCUGGGGCAUCUGCACACUUCCCACCAGCUUCUGGGUAUCCAGAAGGUGGAGGGGCACCCGCCAGGCAAGACAUUUGCUGUCCUUUGUGACCUGAGCUAAGAAUGAUGGUGGCAUCCAUGUGGGUCAGCCCUCCCUUCCAGGCAGUGGCAUAACAACCCAUUGAAAAGGUAGUGCCCCAAGGGUGGCUCCUGUGGCUCAAGGAGUAGGGUGCUGGGCCCAUAUGCCGGAGGUGGCGGGUUCAAACCUAGCCCCGGCCAAAAAAGAAAAUGAACGUGCAGCUGAGAAGGUGCCAGCUGAGCCGGGCAAGGACGUGCAAAUCUGCAGGGAACAGCAGUGGGAGCCCAGAACCCUAGGGACCCUGGGGGUGAGGGCCUGCAGAUGGAAUUUGAGCAAGGUUGUAAGAAACAUCUUUUGUUCCAAUAUUUUGGUUCCAUUGGCACGUUCAGAUCUGACCACAAGGACAAGAGAUGCUUUGCCUGGGAUAGACAAUGGGUUUUGUGUCUGUUUACAGAAGGAUGUGGUAUGUGGUCUUGGAGGAGACACAGCCAGCUGGGCACAGGUGAGGGAAUAGCCCACGAGGCCAGCAGCAGUGCCAGUGGCAUCUCACUGCACCAACUGAGGGGCCCAGAGCAUCAGGUGUCACAUGGCUGCUUGAAUGUCAGCCCAAACUUCACUGUGGGGCUGGAAUUAAAGAACUAACUUUAGAUGCCAAAGAUUUUACACACCAUGCACAACCUAGAUAAGAGGCAGAUCUUGCUACUGCCUGAGACCCCAGCGCACAGCCCGGAUGGGACAAAGAUCAGACACUUCAAUAUGUAUUGAAUGUAGCAUAGUCAGGCUCACUCCAAAACUUCAUAUUAAACACACCAAGAAUCUAAACGUGUGAUGAAAAUGUGUCAAAUGGUCUAUAAAACCAGUGUAUGGUGCCCCAUGAUCGCAUUAAUGUACACAGCUAUGAUUUAAUUAAAAAAAAAAAAAAGAA